rnacentral:rRNA from 1 species
ACACGCUGGCGGCGUGCCUAACACAUGCAAGUCGAGCGGAGUCGAUCGACGGAAGCCUUCGGGCGGAAGAUGGUUGACUUAGCGGCGGAUGGGUGAAUAACGCGUGGGCAACCUGCCUCGAAGACCGGGAUAACAGCCCGAAAGGGCUGCUAAUACCGGAUGUGGUCAAGGAUCCGCAUGGAUUUUGAUUAAAGGGGAAACCCGUUUCGAGAUGGGCCCGCGUCCUAUCAGCUAGUUGGUGAGGUAAAAGCUCACCAAGGCGACGACGGGUAGCCGGCCUGAGAGGGUGACCGGCCACACUGGAACUGAGACACGGUCCAGACUCCUACGGGGGGCAGCAGUGGGGAAUCUUCCACAAUGGGCGAAAGCCUGAUGGAGCGACGCCGCGUGAGCGAAGAAGGCCUUCGGGUUGUAAAGCUCUGUCUGGAGGGACGAAGGAAGUGACGGUACCUCCGGAGGAAGCCACGGCUAACUACGUG